UACCUAAUUAAUUCUACUAAUAGUUAUAUACUUAUCUCAAAGAUUAAGCUAUAUAUAUUUAAAUUUAAGUAAUUAAACCGCGAAACUGCGAAUAGCUCAUUAAAUUAAUUAUAAUUUAUUUAAUAGUACUUUACUAUAUAAAUAACUAUAGUAAUUCUAAAAUUAAUAUAUAUUAAAAAUCCCGACUUCGGAAGGGGUAUAUUUAUUAAAUUAAAAACCAAUACCCUUCGGGGCUAAUUAAUAAUUUAUAAUAACUUCUCGAAUCGUAUAGCCUUACGCUAGCGAUAAUUUAUUUAAAUUUCUACCCUAUUAACUUUCGAUAGUUAAAUUUUAAUUAAUUAUAGUAAUAACGGGUAAUAGAGGGUUAGGGUUCGACCCCGGAGAAGGAGCUUAAAAAAUAGUUACUAUAUCUAAGGAAGGUAGUAGGUGCGUAAAUUAUCCAAUCCCGAUAUAGGGAGGUAGUAAUAAUAAAUACUAAUAUAGGGCUCUUUUGGGUCUUAUAAUUAGAAUAAGUAUAAUUUAAAUCCUUUAACGAAGAAUAAUUGGAGGGCAAGUUUAGUACUAGUAGCCGCGGUAAUUCUAACUCUAAUAGCGUAUAUUAAAAUUAUUAAAGUUAAAAAGCUCGUAGUUAAACCUUAGGCUCGGCCCGUCGGUCCGCCUCACUGUAUACACUGACUAGGUUGGGCCUUUUUUCUUAGAGAAUUAUAUACCCUUUACUAGGUAUAUUGGGGAAUUAGGACUUUUAUUAUAAAUAAAUUAAAUUACUUAAAGAAGGCCUAUAUUCGAAUAUAUUAGUAUAGAAUAAUAAAAUAGAAUAUAUAGUUCUAUUUUAUUAGUUUCUAAGACCGCUGUAAUAAUUAAUAGGGAUAGUCGGGGGUAUUAAUAUUUAAUUAUCAAAAGUAAAAUUCUUAAAUUUAUUAAAAACUAACUAUUACGAAAGUAUUUACUAAGGAUGUUUUUAUUAAUUAGGAAUGAAAGUUAGGGGAUUAAAGACGAUUAAAUACUAUUGUAGUCUUAAUUAUAAAUUAUACUAAUUAAGGAUCGGAUAGUAUUAUUUUUUAACCCGUUCGGUACUUUACGAUAAAUUAAAAUAUUUGGGCUCCUAAGGGAGUAUAGUUGUAAGGCUAAAAUUUAAAGAAAUUAAUAGAAGGGUAUUACUAAGGGUAGAGCCUACGGUUUAAUUUAAUUUAAUAUAGAGAAAUUUACUAAAUCUAAAUACAAUAAAGAUUAAUAGAUUAAGAACUCUUUCUUAAUUUCGUAAAUAGUAGUAUAUAAUUAUUCUUAAUUAAUAGAGUAAUUUAUCUAUUUAAUUAUAAUAACGAACGAGACCUUAACUUACUAAAUAGCCUGUAUUACUUUAGUAAUACGCUAACUUUUUAGAAGGACUAUUAGUUUAAAUUGAUAGAAGUUUAAGGUAAUAAUAAGUCUAUAAUACCCUUAAAUAUUUUAGGCCGUAUGCGUACUAUACUAAUACAAUUAAUAAGUAUUCCCUUAGCUAGAAGGUCCGGGUAAUUUUAUUAAAUUAUAUUGUACUAGGGAUAGAGUAUUAUAAUUAUUACUCUUUAAUAAAGAAUCCCUAAUAAAUGCAAAUUAUUAGUUUACGUUAAUUAUAUCCCUACCCUUUAUAUAUACCGCCCAUCGCUACUAUUAAUUAAAUAAUUUAAUAAAACUUCCAGACUAGCUUAGGAAGGUUAGUAACGACUACCUAAGGCCGGAAAACUAUUUAAACUCAAUUAUUUAGAGGAAGUAAAAAUUGUAAUAAAGUUUCUAUUAGUAAACUAAUAGAAGGAUUAUUA
rfam:Neurospora crassa OR74A unplaced genomic scaffold supercont12.12, whole genome shotgun sequence.